GCAUUUCAAAUUGAAUCUCAAGCCAGAAAUGUAUUAAACUCUCUUGUACGAGUUUAACCGGAAACAUUUGUUUAUAGGAAAUCCCAUACACAGGCUGCUAACGAUGAAUAUACCUCAAUAAAUAAACUCAGCUCAAUGGGUGUGAGGGACUUAAGGAUUUCUAAGAAUUUCACAACGGACAUGUGAAUUUCUUUUGGCAGUUUCCACUUGAGAGGCACGUGUUCUAAAAAAGAUGGAACCGCAACGUCAGGCGGGUAGAGAACGACAACAACAACAACUACAAGACGAGUCAAAAGGCGAAAAAGAUAAUGAAAUCCAUUAAAAAUGAAUUUUAAAGCA